rnacentral:tRNA from 1 species
GGGGAUAUAGCUCAGUGGUAGAGCACAUGCUUGGCAUGCAUGAAGUCCUGAGUUCAAUCCCCAGUGCCUCCA